AUGAACCGACAGACUGCAUGCAUGGCAUGUAUAGAUGGAUGGAUGGAUCGAUGGAUCGAUGGAUCGAUGGAUCGAUCGAUCCAUGGAUCGAACGGUGAAGAGAGCCAGGGUGAGGGUGAGGGUGAGGGUGAGGGUGAGGGUGAGGGUGAGGGUGAGGGUCCCGUCCGUCCCUCCCUCCUUCCCUAUGUCCAUCACAUUGUUUCGUCACAGAUUUUCGAAGUGGAGAUACAAUUCGCAUGCCAUAUUUCGCAUACUCUUAAAAGUGGGCCAUUGGGUGGCCUUUUUUUCUUUUUUUUUAAGGUGGCUCACAAAGCUGCACAACCUUCACUGCAAUUUCCAGAACAUUUCCAUCACCGCCAAAAGAAAUAAACACCUCUACUACCCCUCCCCCCUUCCUGUCCGCGCCUCGCCCCCACCCGCCGUCACCGUCGCCCUCGCCGUCACCGUCGCCCUCGCCCUCACCCGGGCUCUCUUCACUGUUCUCCCCCAACAGGGAGUAGAAAGGGAAGUUAGAGGGAACAUUCUUCCUCCCCUACACCUGCUGAACGCACAUGGACACACACCGCAACCCUCCCCGCCAGGCGCGCGCACCCACCCACCCCCGCCCCGCCAAGCCCCGCCCCGCCCCGCCACGCCACGCCACGCCCCCCAUCCCGGCCUUACGUGUACCUUACGUACCUCUGCACGGACUCGAGAUUUGGCAAUAGCCUUGAUUGCCCUGCAAUGUUUCCAAACCUCGGCGCUCCCCAACCUUCCCCACCCCGACCCCCGCCCCUUCGAAGAAGAACUAACCUAAUUCGGGGAGCUUCCAGGUUGCUUGAACGCCUGAAAUGGUGGGGACAGAGGCGUUCCUGGAGAGGGGUCACGGAACACGGAAGCUCUGCCCCCCUUCCCUUUGCCUCUGUUCCAUCUGGAGUUUCCUCAGUUGUAUCCUUUUAGGACACAGCGGUCAUGUAAGAAAUGAGAAAAAAAAGGACUGAAGGACUGAACCGGGCUAGACUGGUUUAAAAUUCUUCACUAGCGUCCAUGCCGAAUACAUUUCGACGACAGGGGCCUUCGCACGGCUUUUGGUGCACAGAAGACCGAUGCACCGAAGCCUGCCGAUCUCGGGACGUGUCCACGAGGGGAAAGAGUGUCAGCCUAUCGGAAAAGAGAGUCGGUUAACGUAGAUUGCAAAGGCAUUCGUUCAUCCCGAGAGACUUCCUCUCCAUGAUGGCGGGUGGCGCGAGAUGGAAGAGUUGGCUUCCAUGAAAAAGGGGCCCUUUCUUGAAGACCCUGCCCAGCUAUCGGGGUUUUGUUGGUUUGUGUUUUGUCAUCUGUGAUAGGAAGGCAUCUUCUUAGCCAUCGGGAGGGAAACCUCAACAAAUUCAGCCAUUCAGAUCACAAGGGAUUUCUUGGGUUUGGUGGAUCUGAGAUCUGGUCUGCCUCCGACUGCUCCCCGAGAUUGCCUUUAUGCCGAGAAUGGGAUUCCUCAUCAGACACACAGAAGUCCGGCUCCUUGCCACGGAGCUGGCUGCUCUAUGGAUGCCUUUAAAAAGGAAGCCUGCCUUUAAUUCGGACGUCGGAACGUGAUCGGUCGCUUUUUCAUGGGGGGUUGGCCAAUUAAAUUUCCCCCGCCUUGGGCGCCUGGGUGGCUCAGUUGGUUAAGCGGCUGCCUUCGGCUCCGGUCAUGAUCCUGGAGUCCCUGGAUCGAGUCCCGCAUCGGGCUCCCUGCUCAGCAGGGAGUCUGCUUCUCCCUCUGACCCUCCCCCCUCUCAUGUGCUCUCUCUCAUUCAUUCUCUCUCUCUCUCUCUCUCUCUCUCUCUCUCUGUCUCAAAUAAAUAAACAAACAAACAAACAAACAAAUAAAUAAAUAAAUAAAAUCUUAAAAAAAAAAAAUUCCCCCCGCCUUACAAAGCAGAGACUGGUGAAGGGUCCUCCAAGUGCCCUCUGGAAAUCAAGAGCUUCUGUAUCAAGAGGCUGGAAAACGCAUCUUCCCCUUCUUCCUGGUGAAUCCAAUUCUAGGGGUUGAUUCAAAGGAAAUCAUGUUUUAGAUGCUAAAACGUAAAGCUUACUUUUGCAAAAAUGUGCAUCGCGGCAUAGGGUUUAGGAAUCCCUUGUGGCAGACCGACAACCGUGUGUCCCUCACGUCCCGGCACGUGUGCACCCUCACGUCCUAUGACUUCGAUGCUCCUGCUAUCCAGAGGUAGGCUUGAUUGCUCUGUCCCUUGAUUUUGGACCGGGUCUUGGGACUUGUCUUGACCCAAAGAAUAGAGCAGAAGUGACACUUGGCUGGUUUCACAGCCUACACCUGAAGAGGUGGUCUGCCGGCGUUCUCGACCUUCUUGGCAUGCCGUCCUGAGACCUCCACGUAAGAAAGCCAGUCUAGCUGACUGGAGCAUGAGAGGCAUUGACAACAGAGGCAGCCCGGUGCUCGGCGGCACCGACUGCCAGACGUGUGAAAGUUGACCCUCUGGCCGAAAGCCACUGCUUGAGUGAGCCCGGCGUAAACCCGCAGAACCCAAGGGGCCACCCAGGGCAAGCACCAGGAAGUUAUCGAUAAAGAAAUGCUGUUUCGAGCCAUUGCGGUGUUAGGAUGAUGCACCCUGAGGAUCAGCUAGCUGCGCAGCAGCGAUAGAUACCGUGCACACAGAUACACACCACACAACACACCACACCACACCCCCCCCACACACACACGUGUGCAGAAAACCAAACCAACGAAACAAACCAAAACUCUGUAGAACCCUGCACCAAAUGUUGAGGAAACAACGGCCCACCCUCACAAGAAACACCUGCACGCUACAUGUACAAUGCAUAGGGAGCCUAUACUUGCAAGUGCUUACUUGCAUGGGAAACAUUUCACGAUAACAUGAGUCUCAGAUGGCCCAAGCGGGGUUCUUUUGACAUGUCUGAAUUGUGUACACAAUUAGAGAAAGCCUGCUAGGAGACUGGGUGAUCAGAAACUAGGAAGCUCUUUGGUUCCCUCAGUGAAGCCCCGACUUUUGGGGAGGAACCAACACUCAGGGAGAUGCUCUGGUCUUCAUUUGGUUGGUUGGUUGGUUGGUUGGUUGGUUGGUUGGUUGCUGCAGCUUUUGCUAUCUUUGCAUAAAACCGACCCUGUUUCCAUUGGGAAUGGAAAACAACUGACGGGUGGGAUCUGUACACGGUAAUGCUGCUUCGCAGUUGCAUUUGUUUUACUAAAAGAGGGAGAUUUGAACAUUGGGUCUUUCGUGUCCUCUCCAUUCAUGUCCUCUCCACAAAUAAGACUGAAACAAAGGCUAAAAUUUGUUUGCAUCUUGUUUGUGUCUAUGUGUCCGUAUGUGUUAUACAUGUGAGGUAUUUCCUCCACCUCCGGGUGCUAUUGCUAACAUCCAUUUGUAAAGGAGCUCUAUUUAAUGAGUUCUAUUUUUAUUUUAUUUUAUUUUAUUUUAUUUAUUUUAUUCUUUAAAGAUUUUAUUUAUUUAUUUGACAGAGAGAGACACAGCGAGAGAGGGAACACAAGCAGGCGGAGUGGGAGAGGGAGAAGCAGGCUUCCCGCCGAGCAGGGAGCCCGAUGCAGGGGCUUGAUCCCAGGACCCUCGGAUCAUGACCUGAGCUAAAGGCAGACGCUUAACCACUGAGCCAUCCAGUCAAAAUAAUGAAGAAGAGGAGGAAGACAGGCCGAUGCUAGAAAUCUGAAAUCCACUCCUCCUCCUCCCCAAGUACAGGCACCAGAACCGAUGCCCAACCCACUGGCUUCCGGAGGGCUGAAAAGCCACCACAGACAAAGCCUAUUAAGCAGAAGGAGAUGAAGAAAGGGGCGGAGGCGGAGGCGGAGGCGGAGGCGGAGGCGGAGGCGGAGGCGGAGGCGGAGGCGGAGGCGGAGGCGGAGGCGGAGGCGGAGGCGGAGGCGGAGGCGGAGGCGGAGGCGGAGAAGAAAAAAAAGAAAAGGCCCUGCUACCAAAUACUGGCUGUCUCUGCAGAAGUCUGGACUCAAGGUCAACUGAUAAUGGCUGCAGCCUAUGAAGAAGCGAGGUCCUGAUUCCUUACCUGAGAAAAGGAGCCUAAGACCCCAUCCAGGUUGUACCAGCUCUCAGAGCAUGCCCACAGCCUCUUCUCCUUGUCCUCAGAUAACCUCCUGACAUCAGGGACUCAGUUUUGCCUCAUUCAGAUGUCAGGUCUCCACCCCGAAGUAAACAUGGGAAUCUAUGGUACAUAUGUUUCCUGAAUAUACGUGCUCCAACUUUCGCCAUGAAUAAUCAUAAAUGUCCCUGCCCUUUUCCUUUUUGAAGUUUGAUUGUUUGUUUUUAUUUAUUUAUUUCAGAGAGAGAGACACACAGAGAGAGACAGAGACAGAGAGAGAAACACACAGAGAGAGAGAGAGACAGAGAGACAGAGAGACAGAGAGACAGAGAGACAGAGAGCUUGCACGCAUGGGUGGGUGGAGGGGCAGAGGGAGAGGGAGAAGACUCCCCAUUGAGCAGGGAGCCCCAGAGGGGUGGGGCUCGAUCCCAGCACCCUGAGAUUAUGACCUGAGCUGAAGGCAGAUGCUCAACCGGCAGCCACCCAGGCGCCCCUCCAUUCCAUUUUUUUUUUUUAAAGAGAUAAACAUU